rnacentral:rRNA from 1 species
AGCGAACGCUGGCGGCAGGCCUAACACAUGCAAGUCGAACGGAUCCUUCGGGAUUAGUGGCGGACGGGUGAGUAACACGUGGGAACGUGCCCUUUGGUUCGGAACAACUCAGGGAAACUUGAGCUAAUACCGGAUGUGCCCUUCGGGGGAAAGAUUUAUCGCCAUUGGAGCGGCCCGCGUCUGAUUAGCUAGUUGGUGGGGUAAAGGCCCACCAAGGCAACGAUCAGUAGCUGGUCUGAGAGGAUGAUCAGCCACAUUGGGACUGAGACACGGCCCAA